CUGCCUGCAGGAGCAAAGAAAAGAGCAAGGGCUGUCAGGAACGGUCCCUCACCACAGGUUGGCCCCAGCUUCCUGGGCCAGGAAGACUGGCAGAGCAAGGCAGCUGUGACUGCAGGCCCGGAGGGACAGAGUUAUUCCCUGAUACAGUCCUGUGAGGAUAAAAGGUUAAAGCUAGGAACAGGCUGAGCAAGAACUUUAUUCUAUGGCAGGCCAACCUGUGGCUGCAAAGGCACCGGGAGGGCCCAGAACAGAAAUAACCAACUAUGGCAGAUUCCUUUCAACACACUUGCAACAUAGCGCCUGAUGUUCCUUUAGUUUUAUGAUUUAGUAGCCUAGUAAAUGCAAACAGCUGUGGGAGAGGGUUGCAUUUUGUACUUUUAAGGUACUUACACUUCAAUGGAAAUAAAUUUCAGAACUUUGCUUUAUAGAUUUGAGCCAGGAAGAUGAAGAGGCACUUUUGGCACUGAAAGAGGGUUACAGCAAGGUGGGCAGAAAUGUCAGGAGCUCUGAGGUUAAGAUGUAAGAAGGGUAUGCAGGUCUGGCUUCUGGAAGAUGGACGAUUCCCUACACACUUAUCUACCUUUCGGCUACACACACUUCCUGGCAGGGUUGACCCAACACAGUCAUAUGGCUCACACAGGAAGAGGAUACUCAUACUCCAAAAGUUUCAGAACAAAGAGGAGCAGCUGCAGACCUGGGUUCCUGCAUUGGCUUUCAUCAGCCAAGGGACAACCUGCUGGGCUUCUACUUUCUCGUCAAUGAAAUGGAUGCAGAUAUCUUCCUGGCAGAUUUAAAGAUUAGAAUUCAUGUCUAUAGAGCUUCACAGUGCUCAGCAAAUGGAGGACAAUAAAAGAAAAUCAUUUUUGUAAUACAUAUAAAAUAAUAUUUUUAGAAAAGUGUCUUUUGAAACUAAAUUAAAAUAAUAGUUCUGAAAGGGUUGGGAGUCCCUAUACAAGACAAAAUAGACUGUGAAUUUGUAACAACGAUUCCCACUAUUAUGUAAAAUUAUAAUGCUCCAAUUAAAAAAAAAUGCGGUGUGAAUUUGUAACAAUGAUUCCCACUGUUGUGUAAAAUUGUAAUGCACCAAUUAAAAACAAAACCAAAAAAGGACAAAACUGCUUUGAUUCUUCAGUGCAGGUGGAGCAAAGCAUACCCCCACAUCCCAUUUCAGUGAGGUCACAGAUACCAGGCUGGAGGCACAGGCAGGAGCUUGAGUGCACAUGGGAGCCCCAUUGCUACCACUGAAGUUGUGUGAACACAGGCAAGUGACACCACCUCUCUGAGCUUCAGACACCUUAUCUGCAAAAUGGGCUAAAAACAGUACCCACCCUUAAGAUUAUUGAGUUCCUGUCUUUAAAAGUACUUCAAACAAUGCCUGAGACAUAGCAUUAAGAAAAUGUUUGAUAUAGAAAUAAGAAAAAUAUCACAUGAGCAGUUUUAUUAUGCCAUUUACUGUUCUGACUCUUCUUGAGGACAGCCACAUUUUAAAACCAGAGGAACAUGUAGGGUGUCUCCUUGAAUUUGCCUUCCUAUACCCCAGUUGCCACCCUUUUAUCAAACAGAAUUGCCAACUGCCUGAAGCAGCCAUUUCUCCUUGCAGCAGCCAGAGGGCCUACCAUGGGCACAGAGAAGCUGCAGUGGCUCUUAAUUAAGUCACCUGUGCUCACAUGCUGGUGUCCAUUCAGUGCCCCCUCCUGGAGCACUUGCCACUAGAGGCCAUAGCGGUCCUGCAGAAAAGUUUGAGACCAAAAUCACCUGUUCUCAGUCUCCUUUCAAACAUCUUAGAACUCUAGAAAGAACUGACCUCAUGAUAAAGUCACAUACUGAGUUAUAAAAAUGUUUGAGCAAUUUUCUCUCUACUUUGCUUUAAUUUCCUGAUUUUCCAAAACAGGAAAAUAAAUCCCAGCCUCACUCAUCUUCAAUGUCUGCCUCAUCUGCUAUCUCCAGACUUACUCCAGAAUGAUGAAAUUCUCCGCAAUCCCUGGAUUCUACCUGGGAACUCCUCACCCAUUCAGGAAUACAGGAGGGAGCAAGGCUGUUUCUCCUAACAAUGGUCUCCCUAUAAUAUCCCGGUCAAUAAAAAAAGUCAAGAGCACAA